CUGCUGCUCAGAACUUCACCCACAGCAACCAUGACUUUGCUCACCAUCUUCUUCUGCACGCUGGUCCUCUGGACUCAAGGAUCCAGAGGUCAGGGGACUGUGACUCAAACUCCUUCAGUGCAAACUGUUGCUCCUGGAAACACAGUCACCAUCAACUGCAGAACCAGUAACAGGGUGGAUAGUGGGACCAGUGUGUUCUGGUAUCUGCAAAAGCCUGGAGAAGCUCCUAAACUUCUGAUACACGAGGCGACACGAUUACAAUCAGGGAUUCCAGCUCGCUUCAAAGGCAGUGGAUCUGAUAAUGACUUCACUUUGACCAUCAGUGGAGUCCAGACUGAAGAUGCAGGAGAUUAUUACUGUACUGCUGAACAUUAUGUGAACGGCUGGGUGUUACACAGUGUUAGAGCAUCGUACAAAAACCUCAGUCAGUGACAGUGUAGAGAAGUCCUGCUGCAGCUGGAAGGAAGUGCAGGUGCUCAGUCACACACAGUAGUCGCCUGAUAUGGCCCAACAUGACAUACGAAUAGUGAAAUUAAAACCUAUGAAGGUUCUACUAGACAGUGAGACGAGGCACAUAGGCAUACAGAAACACACACACUUUUCCCCACAAGGC